AGUGAACGCUGGCGGUAGGCCUAACACAUGCAAGUCGAACGGCAGCACAGUAAGAGCUUGCUCUUACGGGUGGCGAGUGGCGGACGGGUGAGGAAUACAUCGGAAUCUACUUUUUCGUGGGGGAUAACGUAGGGAAACUUACGCUAAUACCGCAUACGACCUACGGGUGAAGGCAGGGGAUCUUCGGACCUUGCGCGAUUGAAUGAGCCGAUGUCGGAUUAGCUAGUUGGCGGGGUAAAGGCCCACCAAGGCGACGAUCCGUAGCUGGUCUGAGAGGAUGAUCAGCCACACUGGAACUGAGACACGGUCCAGACUCCUACGGGAGGCAGCAGUGGGGAAUAUUGGACAAUGGGCGCAAGCCUGAUCCAGCCAUACCGCGUGGGUGAAGAAGGCCUUCGGGUUGUAAAGCCCUUUUGUCGGGAAAGAAAAGCAGCAGGUUAAUACCCCGCUGUUCUGACGGUACCCAAAGAAUAAGCACCGGCUAACUUCGUG
rnacentral:rRNA from 1 species